UAGACUGUCCAACUUUAAAUGAAUACAGGCGCUGCACUUCUCUCAGCGCUGAUGAGAGGCUAUUCAAGAGAUGGGGUACAGCAGAGCAAAAGGCUCUGUCCCCGAUGGUUCUGAGCCUAGCAGAGGGGACCUGGAGGAGCCGGCCACUGGACGACCUGAGGGUGUGGGUGAAGGUUUGGAGUGGAAUGAGUUCUCAUAGAUAACAUGGAUCAUGGCCGCUGAUGCAUUUAUGGAUGUUGGAGUUUGGUGUUCCCCUGCGUGCUGAUAACCUUCUUUCACCACUAAGGGGCGCUGGAGCUGGAGGUCCGAGAGUCUGACAGGCCUUUCAAGCCAUGCUCCUUCCUGGAGAUCUCUCUAGGAUCCCCCUUCAACAGAGUCUGGACUCUGGAUCACUUUCUGACCUGGCAGCUGCCCUUGCGACGCCACCAGUCUGUUCGAGCACAACCUUUUCACCCUCCUAAGGACCCACCUGGACCAUCGGAACCCUCCAGCUGAACCUACACGGCCACUCUGUUCCAGACUUGCACCUCUCCCCCAUCAAUCUCCACCAGAACUCCUGACAACUGGCACGUUCCCACUCUCCACAUUCCUGUCUGAGCCGAGUAAAUAAAUCAUUGAUUUCAA